CCUACGGGAGGCAGCAGUGGGGAAUAUUGCACAAUGGGGGAAACCCUGAUGCAGCGACGCCGCGUGAGUGAAGAAGUAAUUCGUUACGUAAAGCUCUAUCAGCAGGGAAGAAAAUGACGGUACCUGAGUAAGAAGCCCCGGCUAACUACGUGCCAGCAGCCGCGGUAAUACGUAGGGGGCAAGCGUUAUCCGGAUUGACUGGGGGCAAAGGGAGCGUAGACGGUGCGCCAAGUCUGGAGUGAAAUGCCGCGGCUGAACUGCGGAACUGCAUUGGAAACUGGCGAACUUGAGUGCGGGAGGGGUAAGCGGAAUUCCUAGUGUAGCGGUGAAAUGCGUAGAUAUAAGGAGGAACACCAGUGGCGAAGGCGGCUUACUGGACCGUAACUGACGUUGAGGCUCGAAAGCGUGGGGAGCAAACAGGAUUAGAUACCCCAGUAGUC
rnacentral:rRNA from 1 species